AUGGGAAUGUUGCAUGCACAAAAGAAGGAGGCUUUUGCCCAAGUCUGCAAUGACUUGAUAAAUCGAGUAUAUCUAAGGAGGUUCCUAUGUUCAGGACUAGCUCAAGACCAUCUCUGGAUGGAAUGGAGGAAGCUAAUGUUGCAUGGAACGGGGUGACCAAAAGAGAAAGCUUGGAGCUGACGGCACAAAUCUGCAACUCAAGGAAUGAACCAGCUCCUUUGGAAAAAAGGAAAAAAAGUAUUCAGAGAAAUGCUUUGAGAAUGUGUUCUGAGAAAAUCAGAAGUUAAAUGAACAACAAUGCAAAAGGUUUCCAAAGAAGCAAACUGAGGCACACAGCAACUAAAGCAACAUUUUCAUGAAUGCAAAAGAUCCUGGAAGACCCAGCAGUCAAAUCCAGGAAUUUGGAUGCAUUUCCUUACGUGGCAGCCGCUAUGCAGAAAUGUCCCAAAGAAUUUUGUAAACCCUGCAGAUGGGGUCAUUUUUCCUAUGACUGAAAUGCAGCUGUCCUCUAUACAGACCCAGCACUAUAUAACAUGGGUGCAUGCUACCUGAAUACAAAAGGGACAUUUUAGGUAUUGUUGGCAGGGUGUAAUUACACAAUCUGGACCAGGGCCAUGUUAUAAUGCAGGGCUAACACCCUUAUUCCUGGAAAAAGUGUGGGAUCUUUAAUGGCCCUUGGUUUUAUGCUUCACCUGCAAGUAAAUGAGUGGCACCAGUGGGAGACGGAGCCAGUUACACUGACGCGAGCACUACUAAAUCUUCCUCAGAGCAGAAGCAUUUCAUACUGAUCAGUAUUAGCCGUUGACCUUGCUCAUCAGCCUAUGGAAUAAGAGUAACAUUCCUGGAAUUACCCUUCUUUCCUAACCCCUACCCGAAAGCAGGUCAAUAGCAUUAUUAGCCCAUUAGAAGUUGGACCAUCCAUGGAUGUACAGUAGUUAAGCAUAGUGACCCACCUAUAAAAAGCAGCCUUUGGUCCCAACAGCUCUAAGUUUCAUCUCUAAUAUAUUUUAACUAUACCUGAUCAGGAAAGAAAUCUAGGUUCAAAAGCAAUGGAACAGAAAUAUGGAGAUUAGCAAACUGAUAGAUUUCAAGCAUGAAGGGCUUGUUACUAUAGAAAAGCAUGUUAUUGAGCCUAACCUGAGCACACUGGAAAGUUAAUUUGACUUUAAAUCUUUCUCAGCCUUUUAUAAUAAAUGUUAUAGUUUUACUGAACAGCCUCUUUCCAUUAAAACUAUAAACUUCAUUGGAAUAAUUAAGACUGAUUUAAAGUAAAAUUAAGUUUGACAUGUGGCAGGUGAAGCUGUGUCAUUAAUUUCUACUGCAUACCUGGAAACGAUGGAUGAGACAAGAUGAGGGCAUGGGCCAAUAGGGGAAACACCUAUGUCAUUUCAGGCUCUUGUUCAAGUUUUAGGGUGAGAAGUGCAGAAAACUGCCAUUAUUUUGGAACUAUUUGGUAUCACUCACUGUGCAAGUAUGUCAGGGCUUGAUUCUAUGUUCAUUUUAGUCAGUCGUAAGGACCCAUUAUCCUUAAUGCUACAGGGUCAGAGUGCGAGAGAGAUAAAAAUCAGGAGAAACUGAGGUUGAAAAGCAUUUUCCCUUCCUUCUUCAUCCGUGCACCUCAAUGUUUUAUUCCUUUUGUCCCCUUCCCCUGCUCCAUUGUUCCCUCCUUAUUAACUAAGUAUUUUUAAGAGAAGUGCCUAGCUUGAGUUCUUAUAUGCUCCUUAUCAUCCUAGCUUCUGAGCCCCUACGAAUCAUUUUAAUGAUUCUUCCUAUUUAUAUGUAAUUCCCCAGCCACAUCAGGCAAAGUAGCACUAUCAUUCCCAUUUUAUAGGCAGUGUCUUGCGGGACAGGAAGACCCAAGGACCUACCUUAGGUGACAUAGGGAACCUGUAGCAGAUUGGAUACUUGAGCCCAGCACUCCAAGUAAAUCUUUAACAACUGGGCUAACCUUCUUCUAUGCUUUGCUGGGCCUUCUCUACCCUGCUCUUUUGUUAAUACCCUGUCAUGUGCUGAGGAGGUAUGUAGGCUUGGUCCACUGCCAUCGUCCCUAAUCUGAUUUUAUGCAUGCCUCCUUCACACCGAGACCUGCUGCAUCAGAGGCGAACCAAAAGCAACCUCCAUAUGGCCAAGUCAAAGUUGACUGCACUAAACUCAUACUUUGUGAUCUGGUGUUGGGUUUUGUUGGCUCAGAUCCCAACAGGACGGGAACUGUUGUUCACUUUUGGUUGUAGGUCCAGCCCAAGACGGCUGAAGUACAAUGUGGUCAGCUGCCUUCAUGAGCGUUGCACAAUAAGUAGAUGUCUUAUGAGAACAGGUGGCAGAAUUUCAGUGCCAUCGAGGCCAGGCUGAGAGCUUGCUCUGAUACCAAAUGUAACCUCUCCCGAUGCCUCCACAAGACUGAGAUCCAGCACCCACCUCUGGCAGAGUGUGUUCUGGUAAGAUUUGACAUUGCGUUCUUCACUGUGAUCAUCAAAAAUGUCUCAUGUCACAACAAUUAACCAUAACAUCUCCUGCUAAAGAGGACUGGCAUGAACUCUCUGAAGAGCCCAUUUGUGCCCUUGAUCUAGAGAAAUUACUGUGGAGAAAUAGAAAUAAUUAUUUUCUCCCCCUCCAACCCAGAUGUGGGAUCGGUGCCUUGACAGCUCUUCCUGUCCAACGCCAGCCUCGGGAGUAAAACACCAGUAUCCGGGGAAGGAUUUCCUUUUUGAAAUCAACAAAUUCUAAUUGCCAGUCAUGCAAAUAAAUAUCCCAUGUUGGAACAAUGUCAGAGUCCAUCAGGACUGAGCUGUGUUAACUCACUAAGGACCCCUUCCGCCUAUGAUUGCAGAUCAGACUAAAUGAAAGUAUGGCAUGGAGGGGGUCUCCACCCAAUUCCAAUACUUGAAUUCUAAUUGCAUAUAUAUUAAUUGGCCAUGCUUAUUAAACACAAGCAGAACACUUUCUCUACCUGAAAGUGAACUAAAAAUCCAAUUUGAAUAAAGAAUUGCAAAUACCCUGUAUAAAAGACUGUACGCAAAACAAACCAGAUGUUUCAAACUGCAUAUAGAAAGCUUUACAGAGCAGCUGGGAGAUUUUUAUUUUUUUCUUCCAUCAGACACUGGUGAAAGAGAUGCAUUGCCAGCAUGCAAAACUUCUUCCAGUUUUUAAUACUCAUAUAACUGCUUUUUAUCCUUUAACCAAAGGAAUAUGGAGUUAAAAAAUAUGGUGAGCUGGGGGGGGAACAAUGAUAUUGGUUAAAGUUUAUAAAGGUCAUGGGGUUUGUGGAUGGGUGGGAGAGUAGAGGAGGAUAGAGGUUAUUUUUACCCAUAAAGCUUUCUUAUUUACUGCAAGGUUGUGAAGUUUGGAAAAAAAAUACUAAUAAAAUUUAUUGCCAGGGGUUGUAAGAGGAUCAUACCUUGGUUCUAUUUUCAGCUCCAAACAGAUUAUAGGACAAUGGAGCAUAAAUGGAAAUUAAAACAGAUUUAGAACAGACGUUAGGAAGCACUUUUUCACAUCAAGGAUAAUAAAUGUGCAGAAUGGCCUAUCAGGCAAGGUUGUAAAGGCAAAGACACUGGGAUCAUUCACGCAACAACUCGGGAAAUAGAGCACUAAAAUGGAAUGAGGCUGAAUCUGUCUCUCUUUGGAUGUCUGAGGUGGCUUGAGCUUGCGCGUCUGUUUGUUUUAACGAUGCUCUCCACCGUAACUGGGAGUUGCUGAGAUGUCUCAGCCUUCAUGCGAGGUGGAAGGUGCCUCUUUAUUCCCACUUCAGGCACUUAUAUCAUAGGUAGCAGUCUGUGUGGAAGGAGAGAAUAGCUUUCAGUGGCAUGUCAUUACUGAACAGGGAGCGGGUGCCAUUCAUAUCCCUCUUCAGCGUGUCAGUUAAUGGGAAGGCAGGAGUGCAAGACGAUCAGCAGAUGGCUUCCUCUCCCAAGCAAGGGGGAACCAGGGAGCAUAUUGCCACUCAGACCUUGUAGCUGUGCGUCUACACUGUCUCCAUGUUGUUCCCUGGGACCACCACCAGGGAACAUAUCAUGUUCCCAUUUCGCAGGCCAAUCACACAAGGCCAAUCCCACCACCAGGGAGCAUAUGUUCCCAUUUCGCAGGCCAAUCACAAAAGGCCAAUCCCACCACCAGGGAGCAUAUGUUCCCAUUUCACAGGCCAAUAAGCUCAAUGCAUGCCAAGGCUCAGACUUAAGACACCAAAUCUGGCCUACCCAAAAAAUCACGUGUGAAAGAGAGAGCCUGAAAAUAACACUGGGACAUGUGCUCAGGACCAUUCAAAGACAGCCAUACUACUUCAUCCCUGGGGUCCAGUGCAUGCGAGUAGAAACAAGUGGAUGGGGUGGGCUUCUUGCCCUCCAUGCAUGAAUCAGCCUAGAGGUUGAGUAGAUAAGCCUUAUGAACCUCAAGAGAGUCCCUGAUGUUUUCCAGGCAGGGCAUUGCAAUUAUGUGCUGUACCUUCCUCAGGGCAGGUUAUUAGCUGACCAACUUACUCUUGAACAAGGCUAAGUGAUUCCCCUUGGAAAUACAGACAUCUCCAUUCCACAAAACCUUUGCUUUGCAGGAUGGCAGAAGUAGGUGAUAAAAUCAAAAUGCAACACACCAGCAAGUCAUAGUUUCUCCCUUGCCUUUUCUAGUCCAGACUAUCAGAGUAUAUCCAAGGGAUUCAAAUGCCUUAGUUAUACUCACAGAGCCCCCUUUGAAAGAGGAAAAUAUUACACAUAGGAAAACAAAUUAAGUAACUUGGCCAUGGCCACAGAACAUGUCAGUGGCAGACAUGUUACUGGCUACAUGCUAGAUCACAGAGUCUCAUAUAAAAAAAAAAAAAAGAAGAAUAUUGGUUAAAAAAAAUUCCAUUACUCCCAAGCUAGCAAGCAUCACUAUGCAAUCACAUGUGUGAUAUUACUUGAUUUGUUUAGGAUAUGGAAUAAUAGGAAGCUUGUUUAUAGCAAACGCACCUUUGUUUAAGGCCUAAAAUAAAAUUACUGUGAGCUGCUCAUACUCAAAGAUGUGAAGAUGCCACAGGAAUGCUUAAAGACAGAAGGUUUCAGAAAUCCACAUCAUUCAAGGCCUUUAAGGAAAAAAGGAGUCCUGUGUGCCUGAACAAUAUCAUUUUCUAGGUUCUUGUUUCCUCAAUGCUUCCAUGCCUCAUAGCUGAAAUAGAAACAUAUUUGGGGGAUCAAUAAUUUAAAAAGGAGGCUUUAAAUACUGUUUUAGGUUGUGUUUAAGGUGUCAGGCACAAUAUCAGACAUCCAGCAUAAAGCCGGUACCUCUGUCAUGACUUUAUUACAACUCUGGAUAGUUAUAACAAUCAUCCCAGAAUCAGAGAUAAGUGUAGAUAAGUGUAUUGCCAUAAUGAUACAAUCAGUUACAAGUAAAAUAAACUAAAUUACCUAUCAGCUGUACCUUGCAAGAGGAAAAAAUAUCCAUAUAAAAUCAAAUGUUCUUAUACUGACCUUUCCAAAAUGGAUCAAUAAGAUAUUCAAACCAUGUCUGUAGGAAAUCAAGGCUUUUACUCCACAUACAAUAAGGUAUCUUAGUUCCAGGAUCUGAGUUCACUGAGAACUGUGAUAUUAGAAAGUGGCAUAUCAUUAUAUCUUGUGUCAUUAUUAUAUAGCAUGAGGUUACCAAGAGGGUAAUCUGAGCAAAUGCCUAAGGCCAUUUCUAGUCUUCUGCAGCUUAGCAGAACCACAACCAAAUAACAUGUGUUUAACUCUGAUUUCCACCUCGUCUCUCCUAUGGUGUUUGUGUAAGUCUUACUAGCUUCUAAGAGAUGACCAUUUGAUACGCCAGUCUUGCUCAUAAAUGAAGUGAAAUAAGAAGGGGUGGGAUAUUAGAAAUGAUUAGGAGUACAAACAGAUACACAAUCUGCACAUUCAGCUGCACUUGUAGGCUGUGAACACAUUUGCCAUGAUUGCACUGUUCGAGUUGAAUGAACGUCCAGUUGGUUUCAUUGCAAGAUUUCCAAACCCUGCUAUAGUAACACUGCACAACUAAGUGUUUUAAGAAAUCAAGCAUUAAACACUUAACACAUGUUUCUGGUUUUCCGCUUUAAAAAAAAAAGCUGUAUCAUUUUUGCAAUGAAACCGGAUCACAUUUUAUCCUCUGGGUUAAAUAUCUGUUACCAUAAAGCCGGAGUUUAGAGGAGUCAUGCCCUGCUAGUAGCAUUUUAACCAAAUGGGGGAGUCACUAUAAUGUAGAGCCGUACUAUAGGCAGCAGAUCUGCUGCAUUGAGUGGAAUUGCUCUUCUGUCCACUAGCUCAGGGCUAACACUGUCGAGUGCUUCGGGCACAGCAACAUGAGGAAUCGGAAAGUCUAAUACUGACUCUCUCUGUGACUUAGGAAUGAAGCACAAUUUCCUCUUGGCUCACAGUGUCCCUUUUUGUCAAAGCUGAACUCACACUGACAAAGGCUGAUGUGCGUAGGAGGUCUGCACUACCCUUGCAGUCGCAUGUGCCAUCCCAAACAACUCUUUUAGUAACUCUGCUUCCUGCAGUCCUGUCAUAGCAUCUGAUGAAGCAAACCUUCUGCUUGCAGAAGCUUACACUGCAUAUCGCUGAUUUAGUUAGUCUAUAAGGUGCAGCUCUAACUUGUUUUCUGCCUGACUUCAGACUAACACAGCUAACUAACUACCUGUCCAUCCCAAACAACUUGUCACUUUUUAAAUAAUUGGUUGUAAAAUACACCUAGCUUCAAAAUAUGUCGGUGAUGGGUCAUUUCAGGGUGCAAAAGAAAUAUGUGAGAUUCUUGGGACUGUGUGUGGCAAUUACAAUACCGGGCUGACAAGCAGGAGUUCUGGAUUUUACUCCUAGGUCAUCCACAAGUCAGCUUUGUAAUUAGCACCACAACAUCUUAACCAGAAAGUCUGUGAACACAAGACUGAAAACCCUUGGCAGGGUAAAUAAAUGCACCUGAACUCUGAAAAUACAUGCAUUAACUCUGGAAUCAAAGGGGUAGUUAUAAACCAUUCAGUUAUGCAAUGACCCUUUUGUGCUGUUCAAGUGCUAAGACCAUGCCUAUCACUGUGGCAUCCAAACACCAUCCAGAAUUAGAAAAAUAGGUUAAUCCCUAUAAAUUGUGAUCUCCCUCUUCAUGGCGAUUAGUUAUUCAAAAGACACAUCCAAAGUAUAAUUAAACUGUAAUAGAGUUUUAACGACAGUGUCCUUUCAGUCACUUUAUGAUAAGAGACAAGCAUAAUGCCUUUCUUUCCCCCCGAAUACCCCUGAACUUUGGCAGCUGAAAUACAAAUGAACUUGAAUCCAAGCUGCCCUGAAUUUGGUGGGUCAGUUUUGCAAAACCAAAGAGUGCCCUUCCCACCCUAUCAUGAUCUACAGCUAUUUCUAACAGUGACCUAAUACUUCUGACUUAUUUCUCACCACAGUUUACAGAGGAAUGAGCUGAUAGUUGUUGCUAUAUCGGACUGUGCAAAUUGAUGGUGAUAAUAUACUCUCUAGGAAGGGUCUGUACACUUAGGUAAUUCAAAAUAUCUUGUUAAAUAAAUAUUUACAAUAUUUCUGUUAUUUAGCCUAUAAACUGUUUGGUGUGAAGAAGCUUUCUGACUGAUUGCUGAGCGUUCCAGAGACUUACUCUAGAUUAAUCCAUGUAAACCACACCGCCGUGCUAAAAAUUGCUAUAGUACCUCCUGGCUGCCAAGUCCUUAUCCUUCCUGAGUGAAAAAUACAGGACAUAUUUUCCUUUGUAAUAAAAUCUCUUGA